rnacentral:rRNA from 1 species
UACCGGCAGUCCAAGUAGCAGCCAACAUUAUUGGGUCUAAAACAUCCGUAGCUUGUUUGUUAAGUUUCUUGUGAAAUCUCGUGUCUCAAGCUCGAGGCGCGCAAGAAAUACUGGCAGACUAGAGAUCGGCAAGAUGUGAGGAGUACGUCGGAGGUAGUGGUUAAAUAUGUUAAUCUCCAGCGGACUAACAAUCAGCGAAGGCACCUUACAAGUACGAAUCUGACAGUGAGGGAUGAAAGCCAGGGGCGCAAAA